GAAUCAAAAACAAAAAAGAAAGAAAUUAACGAUAUGUAGAAAGUUUCUAGAAACAAACUGAACCCUUCUUCUUCGUGGAAGUUCAAUACACAACAAUCUUCUUCUUCUUCUUUCUUCUUCACUGCAAUUCAUCACCUUUUUCACUGCACCAUCAUCACAUUUGAACGCUUCAUCACCUUCGAAAUUGGUAAAGCUUGAAACCCUAACUUUCAUAGAAAUUCAACUGCUUCACUCAAACUUGAAAGAAUGAACCGUUCCCUUCGCUGCAAACCUGGGGGUCCUGCUCCUCUAAGCGGGGACAAUUCAAGAAGAAUUAAGAGACGAACCGUUCCCUUCACUCAUUCAUAUGCAUAUUAGGUGUUUGAUAAUUUCCUAAGUGGUGUUAUGUGAAUCUUUGCCUGAGAGCAUCCGUCGCAACGAUUUCUUCACCGCAAACGAUUGACUUCUUCACUGCACUGCACCUUCGUCAAAAUUGAACCCUUCGUCAUCUCCGAACCAUUCGUAAAACUUGAACCCACCUUAACCGCUCAAAAUUGAACCCUUCACUACAAUCUCAGAACAUCGAACACCUCACUGCCCAGAAAUUGAACUCCUUCACCGAAAAUUCAAACCCUUCAGUACAAAUUUAAAACCCUAACUUUCAUAGAAAUUGAACUCCUUCAGUAAAACUAGAAAAUUUGAACUGUUCCCUUCGCUGCAAACUUCGAAGGAAUUGAUUGCAAACUUGGAGGCUACUCAUUCAUAUGAUUGCUACCUUGUGUACAUUCUCACUGAAAUGGCUGGAACUGGAAGUACAUCAAAUGACUGAAAUAGUGUUCACUCGGACAUGUGAUGCAACUCAUCUUCUUGCUUAGAUUCUUAGGAAUCUCGAUUUGAAAGCCAUCCCCAUUAAUGGUCAUGUGAGUCAGGUAUUUCCUGUUGCUCAAAAGGGAUUUGUGGAUUCAAUCCUUUUACAACGUUUGUGUGCUAUAGAAUUAUUUUAUAAUCUGAGGUUCUACACAAACUUAUAAGCUAUGAGGUUUGGCACAUCUCUCACUCUUCAUUCUCAAACAUAGGAAAUCCACACAAAGGUUCAAGUUAUUGACAUCUAUCUAGCUAGUCUCUUUUUAAUCCACACAAAGGUAAGCUCAAAUAUGCCUAUUUUGUCAAAUAACUUAAAAAAAAAAUAGUUUUGAUAAUAAUGUCUUUCUUGUGUUUGAUAACAUACCUUAAUUAAGAUAGUAAUGUGUUUGCAAAUUAGUCUCAUCUGAUAUUUAGAUUUUGUUGGGUUGUUUAGUGUCAUGUUAUUUUGCAUUUGAAUUAUAUAUCUCAAUGCUACAUACAUAUAUAGACCCUUAGUAAGUUGAUUAAUAUGUUUGAUUUGUCUAACUCGUUCUCUUUUGAUGUUGUUGUGUGACCGAACAGAGCUGCAUUCGUUGAGGUUGUUGUCAAUGUUGCACUUUUGCUACAUGAAGGUGUGAAGGUCUGUGCUCAAAUCAGUUCGGUUUUGCAAGAGGUCAAGGCUGUACAAAAUGCUGCUUAUAAAGCUGAUUGGUAUGUUGUCUAUAUAGUAUGCAAUAUGUCACAAUCUACGGAAGUUGUUCAUGAGUGUUGGAAGAGUGAAUUUCACAUGUCUAUAUAACUGGUUAUAUAGAAUUGGAAGAGUCUGCAACUCUGCAUCAAUAUACUUUGUUGGAACUGAAUUUUACAUUGACAAAAGUAUUUACUGACUAGACGUUCACAUUUGAUCAUAUUCAAUUUUAGAGCCAAAAGCAACAAAUAGUUAUGAGUGCGACUAUUAUGUCAUGAUACACAUGUUGAACAUUGUAUCUGCUGGUGUUGUUGGUUCAUGGACCCAAGUAAGUAAUAUAAUUUCUGUAUCAAGCUGUAUCAAUUUAUUUAAUUGGUGCAAGAGAAAACAAGCUAUAGUACAUGACGAAAUUUGGAGACAGAUCUAAGUUUAAGUUUUUUAUUCUUUUUGUCGAGGUACCGUUACAAUUUUAAUGAUAUGCAGUUGCCCCAACACAUCAAGAUAUAGUAAUUGUAAUUGUUUUUCAAGACUUAGAAUAAUUCAUUAUUGUGUUGGUUCUCUGUGUGUUUAGAAUUGUAAUUAGUUUGUAGUUAGUUACUUAUUUCUUCAUGAGUGAUAUUACCCCUUAAAUUAGAUUUUAAA